GACGCCGCCCCGGGCGUUCCCUCACGCGGCGGGUCCUGGGCCCAGAAGAUUAGGCGGGACCAGGACGCAGCGCGGGGCAGUGGAGUCACCCAUUUGUCAAACAUUUACUGAGCGCUCACUGAUGCCAGGAACCGGUGAGCGAAAAUGUCACCCAUCUUAAGUGUCUACUAAGGACUAAGAACGGCCUGUGGCUCCAGGCGUAGACGGAGGCCGGGCUCGGGCCUCAGUGCGGCUCCUCGGGCCAACCAGGGACCUACCUGCCUUGCGUUCCUCAGUCCCUUCCCCAGCCUUUCCCUCCUUUCAGCCUAGUCCCUGGGAUUGUCGACCUGGAGUCCCCGGCUGAGGCCACACCUGAGCAGGGCGUGGACCCAAUCCAGGUGUUCCAGGAGGCCUCAGAUCAGUGAAUUUUCAUCACCAGUCAUCCAGGACAAGCCCACAGUCAAGCUGCUACUCAAUGCUUUUGCAUGAAGAGAUUCCAUGCAGCUGACUUGUCAAACAUCUGGUAGACCUGCAGCUCCUAGUAGCACAGUGUUCCAGGGCACAAGGGUGCAGGUCCCAAUGAAGAAAAACAAGAUCCUUGACUUAGGGGCAUUUAAGAUGUCUUUGGGGAGGUAAACAAGAGACAGGGUCUCACUAUGCUACCCAAGCUGGUCUCCAGCUCCUGGGCUCAACUGAUCCUCCUGCCUCGACCUCCCAAAGUGCUGAGAUUAUAGGUGUGUGCCACCGUGCUGGGCCAAAUAUUUUCCUAUAAAGAGGAACACAUGAUGUAAAUGCAAUAGCGGUUAUUACAAUCAAAAGAAGUUUGCUUUCGGUACACUUUCAGUGCUGGCCAGCUCAGCAUAUGAAUACCAAGUUCCAGACUACAUGACGCAUGUGCAGACCUCAAAGUAACUUCUGUUUUUAGAAUGAGCUGUUUUACCACGCGAACCUUUGUCUUUUCUCCACUGUGAUCUAGCACAUGGACUGUAUUUCCCUAUUAGAUUACAGUAAUUCUCAGGCUUCAGCAAUCUUCACCACCAACUGUAGGGCUGUGAAAUCUCAGAUCUGAGUGCCCUGACCCAGGAUUUUCUUGAACUCCUGACCUCAGGUGAUACACCCACCUUGGCCUCCCAAAGUGCUAGGAUUACAGGUGUGAGCCACUGCGCCCGGCCAUGAGCCAGGAUUUUCUAAUUGCUGGGCUGGGGUGGAGCCUGAAGCAGGCAUCGUUAACAAGCUCCUGAUUGGAAACCACAAUAAGCAAGCACCUGUCUCCUGAUUCCCGCAGCAGCCCCACCAGGGACCGGGCCCCACUGGCUCCUCUCGGCAGGCAAAAAAACGGCAGGAGUUUAGCAGUGACAUGGUUCAUCCUGAUGGAUGCUGAUUCAUCGACAACAGAAACAGAUUCUACUAUUUUUCUUCCAUCCUGAGACUGCAAGGUUAGUUUUAAAAAAAAUUAACCAUUUCAACUCUCCGAUAAGGAUGUUUCUGAUUUACUCUAUAUUGUGCAACCAAAGAGUAAGGAAAUAAAUUGGAAGCAGAGGUUGGUGUAAA